CCUACGGGUGGCAGCAGUGGGGAAUAUUGGACAAUGGGGGCAACUCUGAUCCAGCGACGCCGCGUGAGUGAAGAAGUAUUUCGGUAUGUAAAGCUCUAUCAGCGGGGAUGAAAGAAAUGACGGUACCUGACUAGCAAGCCCCGGCUAACUACGUGCCAGCAGCCGCGGUAAUACGUAGGGGGCAAGCGUUAUCCGGAUUUACUGGGGGUAAAGGGAGCGUAGACGGUUUCGCAAGUCUGGAGUGAAAGGCCGGGGCCCAACCCCCGGACUGCCUUGGAAACUGUUUAACUGGAGUGCAGGAGAGGUAAGUGGAAUUCCGAGUGUAGCGGUGGAAUGCGUAGAUAUUAGGAGGAACAUCAGUGGCGAAGGCGACUUACUGGACUGUAACUGACGUUGAGGCUCGAAAGCGUGGGGAGCAAACAGGAUUAGAUACCCGGGUAGUC
rnacentral:rRNA from 1 species